rnacentral:misc_RNA from 1 species
GAUGAAGAACGUAGCGAAAUGCGAUAAGUAAUGCGAAUUGCAGAAUUCCGUGAGUCAUCGAAUCUUUGAACGCACAUUGCGCCCUCUGGUAUUCCGGAGGGCAUGCCUGUCUGAGCGUCAUUGUCAACCCUCAAGCUCAGCUUGCUGUUGGGUCCCCGUCGUUGCUUUAACGGCGGACCCGAAAGGUAAUGGCAGAGUCCGUGAGACCCUAGACGCAGCGAGCUUCUAGCACGCGUCUGGACGUUUUUCGGGCUCGGUCUUAGCUAGAUGAUAACUUCCGAUUGACCUCAGAUCAGGUAGGGAUACCCGCUGAACUUAAGCAUAUCAAUAAGCGGAGGA